rnacentral:rRNA from 1 species
GGAACUGAAACAUCUAAGUACCUGAAGGAAGAGAAAGAAAUUCGAUUCCGUAAGUAGCGGCGAGCGAACGCGGAUUAGCCCAAACCAAUAAAGUUUUCUUUAUUGGGGUUGCGGACAUAUCAUAACGAAGAGGUAUCGUAAUUGAAGAGGUUUGGAAAGACCCACCACAGAAGGUAAUAGUCCUGUAUGUUAAACGAGAAGACUUUAGAUAUGAUCCAGAGUACCACGGGACACGUGAAACCCUGUGGGAAGCAGGAGGGACCACCCUCCAAGGCUAAAUACUACCUAGUGACCGAUAGCGUAUAGUACCGUGAGGGAAAGGUGAAAAGAACCCCGGGAGGGGAGUGAAAUAGAACCUGAAACCCUGCACUUACAAGCUGUGGAAGCACAUUUCUUGUGUGACCGCGUACUUUUUGUAGAACGGGCCAACGAGUUACGUUAAGUAGCAAGGUUAAGCACUUAAGGUGCGGAGCCGUAGCGAAAGCGAGUUUUAACUGAGCGUUCAGUUACUUGACGUAGACCCGAAACCGGGCGACCUACCCAUGAGCAGGAUGAAGCGAAAGUAAAAUUUCGUGGAGGUCCGAACCCACGAGCGUUGAAAAGCUCGGGGAUGACUUGUGGGUAGCGGUGAAAUUCCAAUCGAGCCCGGAGAUAGCUGGUUCUCCCCGAAAUAGCUUUAGGGCUAGCCUCAAGGUGAGAGAUACGGAGGUAGAGCACUGAAUGUCCUAGGGGGUAUUGCACCUACCGAAGACUAUCAAACUCCGAAUGCCGUCAUCUUAUACUUGGGAGUCAGACUGUGGGUGAUAAGAUUCAUAGUCGAAAGGGCAACAGCCCAGAUCGUCAGCUAAGGUCCCUAAAUGUAAGUUAAGUGGUAAAGGAUGUGGGAUUGCACAGACAACCAGGAUGUUGGCUUAGAAGCAGCCACUCAUUCAAAGAGUGCGUAAUAGCUCACUGGUCGAGUGAUCCUGCGCCGAAGAUUUCCGGGGCUAAAACUUACUACCGAAGCUACGGCAUCAGUAAUGAUGGGUAGGGGAGCUUCCCAUACGGGUUGAAGCAUGACCGUAAGGACAUGUGGACAGUAUGGGAGUGAGAAUGUUGGCAUGAGUAGCGAGAUGUGGGUGAGAAUCCCACAGGCCGUAAACCCAAGGU